AACGCUGGCGGCAGGCCUAACACAUGCAAGUCGAGCGGUAGAGAGAAGCUUGCUUCUCUUGAGAGCGGCGGACGGGUGAGUAAUGCCUAGGAAUCUGCCUGGUAGUGGGGGAUAACGUUCGGAAACGGACGCUAAUACCGCAUACGUCCUACGGGAGAAAGCAGGGGACCUUCGGGCCUUGCGCUAUCAGAUGAGCCUAGGUCGGAUUAGCUAGUUGGUGGGGUAAUGGCUCACCAAGGCGACGAUCCGUAACUGGUCUGAGAGGAUGAUCAGUCACACUGGAACUGAGACACGGUCCAGACUCCUACGGGAGGCAGCAGUGGGGAAUAUUGGACAAUGGGCGAAAGCCUGAUCCAGCCAUGCCGCGUGUGUGAAGAAGGUCUUCGGAUUGUAAAGCACUUUAAGUUGGGAGGAAGGGCAGUAAAUUAAUACUUUGCUGUUUUGACGUUACCGACAGAAUAAGCACCGGCUAACUCUGUGUUGCACGGAUUAA
rnacentral:rRNA from 1 species